UCAGUUCAGAUUGUAGGCUGCAACUUGCCUACAUGAAGUCGGAAUUGCUAGUAAUCGCGGAUCAGCAUGCCGCGGUGAAUACGUUCCCGGGCCUUGUACACACCGCCCGUCACACCAUGAGAGCCGGUAACACCCGAAGUCAGUAGCCUAACCGCAAGGGGGGCGCUGCCGAAGGUGGGAUUGGGUAAUUGGGGUGAAGUCGUAACAAGGUAUC
rnacentral:rRNA from 1 species